UCGGGAAUAUUGCGCAAUGGAGGAAACUCUGACACAGUGACGCCGCGUGCAGGAAGAAGGUUUUCGGAUUGUAAACUGCUUUAGACAGGGAAGAAACAAGACAGUACCUGUAAAAUAAGCUCCGGCUAACUACGUGCCAGCAGCCGCGGUAAUACGUAGGGAGCAAGCGUUAUCCGGAUUUAUUGGGUGUAAAGGGUGCGUAGACGGGAAGACAAGUUGGUUGUGAAAUCCCUCGGCUUAACCGAGGAACUGCAACCAAAACUAUCUUUCUUGAGUGUUGGAGAGGAAAGUGGAAUUCCUAGUGUAGCGGUGAAAUGCGUAGAUAUUAGGAGGAACACCAGUGGCGAAGGCGACUUUCUGGACAAUAACUGACGUUGAUGCACGAAAGUGUGGGGAGCAAACAGGAUUAGAUACCC
rnacentral:rRNA from 1 species